CGUGAGGCUAGAGUCAUGCCUUGACAACACCUCAUUGUCCUGGUGUACUAGAGUGCUUGCAGUAAACUUAUUUGCCUAGUCAUUGACUGUAGUCCCUUGUGGCCCAGCCAAUCACCAGCUUGGAUACAGAA